UACGAAGGGGGCUAGCGUUGCUCGGAAUCACUGGGCGUAAAGCGCACGUAGGCGGCUCUUUAAGUCAGGGGUGAAAUCCUGGAGCUCAACUCCAGAACUGCCCUUGAUACUGAGGAGCUUGAGUCCGGGAGAGGUGAGUGGAACUGCGAGUGUAGAGGUGAAAUUCGUAGAUAUUCGCAAGAACACCAGUGGCGAAGGCGGCUCACUGGCCCGGUACUGACGCUGAGGUGCGAAAGCGUGGGGAGCAAAGCAGG
rnacentral:rRNA from 1 species